CAGCAGCCGCGGGAAUACGUAGGUGGCAAGCGUUGUCCGGAAUUAUUGGGCGUAAAGGGCUCGCAGGCGGUUUCUUAAGUCUGAUGUGAAAGCCCCCGGCUCAACCGGGGAGGGUCAUUGGAAACUGGGAAACUUGAGUGCAGAAGAGGAGAGUGGAAUUCCACGUGUAGCGGUGAAAUGCGUAGAGAUGUGGAGGAACACCAGUGGCGAAGGCGACUCUCUGGUCUGUAACUGACGCUGAGGAGCGAAAGCGUGGGGAGCGAACAGGAUUAGAUACCCCUGUAGUCCCUGUCUCUUAUAC
rnacentral:rRNA from 1 species